rnacentral:rRNA from 1 species
GCAUAUCAAUAAGCGGAGGAAAAGAAACUAACAAGGAUUCCCCUAGUAGCGGCGAGCGAAGCGGGAAGAGCUCAAAUUUAUAAUCUGGCACCUUCGGUGUCCGAGUUGUAAUCUCUAGAAGUGUUUUCCGCGUUGGACCGCACACAAGUCUGUUGGAAUACAGCGGCAUAGUGGUGAAACCCCCGUAUAUGGUGCGGACGCCCAGCGCUUUGUGAUACACUUUCAAUGAGUCGAGUUGUUUGGGAAUGCAGCUCAAAUUGGGUGGUAAAUUCCAUCUAAAGCUAAAUAUUGGCGAGAGACCGAUAGCGAACAAGUACCGUGAGGGAAAGAUGAAAAGCACUUUGGAAAGAGAGUUAACAGUACGUGAAAUUGUUGGAAGGGAAACGCUUGAAGUCAGACUUGCUUGCCGGAGCUUGCUUCGGUUUGCAGGCCAGCAUCAGUUUUCCGGGGUGGAUAAUGACGGUUUGAAGGUAGCAGUCUCGGCUGUGUUAUAGCUUUCCGUUGGAUACAUCCUGGGGGACUGAGGAACGCAGCGUGCUUUUUGCGAAAGACUCGUCUUUUUCACGCUUAGGAUGCUGGUGGAAUGGCUUUAAACGACCCGUCUUGAAACACGGACCAAGGAGUCUAACAUGCUCGCGAGUAUUUGGGUGUCAAACCCGGAUGCGCAAUGAAAGUGAAUGUAGGUGGGAACCGCAAGGUGCACCAUCGACCGAUCUGGAUUUUUUAAGAUGGAUUUGAGUAAGAGCGCGUAUGUUGGGACCCGAAAGAUGGUGAACUAUGCCUGAAUAGGGCGAAGCCAGAGGAAACUCUGGUGGAGGCUCGUAGCGGUUCUGACGUGCAAAUCGAUCGUCAAAUUUGGGUAUAGGGGCGAAAGACUAAUCG